rnacentral:rRNA from 1 species
GAUGAACGCUGGCGGCGUGCCUAAUACAUGCAAGUCGAACGCAUUGAGAAAAGUGCUUGCGCUAUUCAAUUUGAGUGGCGAACGGGUGAGUAACACGUGGGCAACCUACCUGAUAGCGGGGGAUAACGAGUGGAAACAUUCGCUAAUACCGCAUAACAAUAGAGAAGGAAUCUUCUUUAUUUAAAAGGCGCUUUCAAGCGUCACUAUCAGAUGGGCCCGCGGUGCAUUAGUUAGUUGGUGGGGUGAAGGCCUACCAAGACGAUGAUGCAUAGCCGAGUUGAGAGACUGAUCGGCCACAUUGGGACUGAGACACGGCCCAAACUCCUACGGGAGGCUGCAGUAGGGAAUCUUCCACAAUGGACGAAAGUCUGAUGGAGCAACGCCGCGUGUGUGAUGAAGGCUUUCGGGUCGUAAAGCACUGUUGUAUGGGAAGAAAUGCUAGGCUAGGAAAUGAGCUUAGUUUGACGGUACCAUACCAGAAAGGGACGGCUAAAUACGUGCCAGCCGCCGCCGUAA